rnacentral:sRNA from 1 species
GCCGGGCGUGGUGGCGCAUGCCUGUAAUCCCAGCUACUCAGGAGGCUGAGGCAGAAGAAUUGCUUGAACCCGGGAGGUGGAGGUUGCAGUGAGCCGAGAUCGCGCCACUGCGCUCCAGCCUGGGUGACAAAAGCGAAACUCUGUCUCGA